CAGUGUGAUGGAAAACAGGGGAAGCCGCACCAGACUGUGCCGAGAAAGAUGUGGCAAAUGAUCGCCCAGCACCGUCUGGAA